rnacentral:sRNA from 1 species
UUCUCCGCUCCUUCUAGGAUCUCCGCCUGGUUCGGCCCGCCUGCCUCCACUCCCGCCUCCACCAUGUCCAUCAGGGUGACCCAGAAGUCCUACAAGGUGUCCACCUCUGGCCCCCGGGCCUUCAGCAGCCGUUCCUACACGAGUGGGCCCGGUUCCCGCAUCAGCUCCUCGAGCUUCUCCCGAGUGGGCAGCAGCAACUUUCGCGGUGGCCUGGGCGGCGGCUAUGGUGGGGCCAGCGGCAUGGGAGGCAUCACCGCAGUUACGGUCAACCAGAGCCUGCUGAGCCCCCUUGUCCUGGAGGUGGACCCCAACAUCCAGGCCGUGCGCACCCAGGAGAAGGAGCAGAUCAAGACCCUCAACAACAAGUUUGCCUCCUUCAUAGACAAGGUACGGUUCCUGGAGCAGCAGAACAAGAUGCUGGAGACCAAGUGGAGCCUCCUGCAGCAGCAGAAGACGGCUCGAAGCAACAUGGACAACAUGUUCGAGAGCUACAUCAACAACCUUAGGCGGCAGCUGGAGACUCUGGGCCAGGAGAAGCUGAAGCUGGAGGCGGAGCUUGGCAACAUGCAGGGGCUGGUGGAGGACUUCAAGAACAAGUAUGAGGAUGAGAUCAAUAAGCGUACAGAGAUGGAGAAUGAAUUUGUCCUCAUCAAGAAGGUGAGGGAGUCUCCCUUCUCCUAUCUGGACACUGGAGGCUGGGGCUCAGAGACUCAGACCAAGAGGCUUUCUGGGUUUUGUCCCUAAAUAUUCCUAAGUAGUGGGACAAACUCAUUUAUGUCAACAUUUGGGUGCACAGAAAGGUAGACAAGGAUGGAGUGGUAGGUGCAUUUGGACAGAACUCUUGACAUCGGUGUUGGGACAUGGUUCAGAAAACAGAGCAGUAGAACUGGAGAUCUGGCUCUAGAAGGCUCCCUAGAGAAGGAGGUGGAAGAGGGUGCGUUGCAGGAAGCAGAGGUGAAGGUGUGUGGGCUGAGAAUGCACAUGUGAUGGGCAGAGGCUGGGCUGGAAGAUCAAUCCACAAAGUGGGCAACUAGAAAGUCCUGUGACCAGGCCAUUGGGUGGACCUUGGGAGCCCCUUGGUUGGGGUUGGGUGUGGAAACCCAGCUCAGGCUCCCCUCUCCUCAUCCCCCAGGAUGUGGAUGAAGCUUACAUGAACAAGGUAGAGCUGGAGUCUCGCCUGGAAGGGCUGACCGACGAGAUCAACUUCCUCAGGCAGCUGUAUGAAGAGGAGAUCCGGGAGCUGCAGUCCCAGAUCUCGGACACAUCUGUGGUGCUGUCCAUGGACAACAGCCGCUCCCUGGACAUGGACAGCAUCAUUGCUGAGGUCAAGGCACAGUACGAGGAUAUUGCCAACCGCAGCCGGGCUGAGGCUGAGAGCAUGUACCAGAUCAAGUAUGAGGAGCUGCAGAGCCUGGCUGGGAAGCACGGGGAUGACCUGCGGCGCACAAAGACUGAGAUCUCUGAGAUGAACCGGAACAUCAGCCGGCUCCAGGCUGAGAUUGAGGGCCUCAAAGGCCAGAGGGCUUCCCUGGAGGCCGCCAUUGCAGAUGCCGAGCAGCGUGGAGAGCUGGCCAUUAAGGAUGCCAACGCCAAGUUGUCCGAGCUGGAGGCCGCCCUGCAGCGGGCCAAGCAGGACAUGGCGCGGCAGCUGCGUGAGUACCAGGAGCUGAUGAACGUCAAGCUGGCCCUGGACAUCGAGAUCGCCACCUACAGGAAGCUGCUGGAGGGCGAGGAGAGCCGGCUGGAGUCUGGGAUGCAGAACAUGAGUAUUCAUACGAAGACCACCAGCGGCUAUGCAGGUGGUCUGAGCUCGGCCUAUGGGGGCCUCACAAGCCCCGGCCUCAGCUACGGCCUGGGCUCCAGCUUUGGCUCUGGCGCGGGCUCCAGCUCCUUCAGCCGCACCAGCUCCUCCAGGGCCGUGGUUGUGAAGAAGAUCGAGACACGUGAUGGGAAGCUGGUGUCUGAGUCCUCUGACGUCCUGCCCAAGUGAACACCUGCGGCAGCCCCUCCCAGCCUACCCCUCCUGCGCUGCCCCAGAGCCUGGGAAGGAGGCCGCUAUGCAGGGUAGUACUGGGAACAGGAGACCCACCUGAGGCUCAGCCCUAGCCCUCAGCCCACCUGGGGAGUUUACUACCUGGGGACCCCCCUUGCCCAUGCCUCCAGCUACAAAACAAUUCAAUUGCUUUUUUUUUUUGGUCCAAA